GACCUGGCAACACUGGUCAUGUUGUGCAAAUUUUAACCAUAUUUUUCCAAUAACAAAACAAAUUGGUUACUUAAGUGAUUCUAAUUUGCUUCACAGGAAUUCACAAUGCACAGAUGUUUCGUCGGCUUUUAUAUUUGGUGCUUUUUACAACCUUGUCGGUUUUCCAAUAGCGGUAGGAAAUAUUUCUUCGAUCGAUCAUAUUUGAUGGUCAUACUCGGGAGUCAUAAAUAAAGACAAGCCCGGAGUAUAGAUUAUGAGUGAAGUAUUUCAGUGCUUAUUUUAACAAAUAUCUUAAAUGGAACAUAAGUGUGGAUGUUAUUGCUAAUAAGGCAAAAAGGCACUUUAUAUUUUAAGGUUUUAGAUGCAUCUCAUUUAGAUUUCGAAGCAGCCUUCUUGAAACCAGUUAACCAAAAAACGCUCAACCAAUAAGCUGAAUGUAGUUUAAUGAGCAGCAUUCUUGGCUGCGGCUACUAGCUAUGGUGGAGUUGGAGCAGAAAAGGAAAGUUGCAGCUGUAAAAACCAAAUCUUUAUCUAUGGAUAUUAAAACUUGAAGAUGAAAAUCCGGUUUGCUGAAAUGUUCUUUGUUACACGUAUGUACCGAUGCUCUUAUUUAUAUGAGCAUCUAAUUUAUUUAAAGACAAAUAGGUAGCACCUUUUAAGAAAGGUUAUCGUUAACUGAUGAUCAUGUUGUCAUCAUCAAUUGUAAUUGUAAUUGACCUGCUAUAAAGAUGUUCAGCUGAUUAUUCUUACCUUGCUUUAUAACGAUGACAAAUGUCCGCCAAAAACCAUUAUUAAAUAACGAUUUUAUUUA